rnacentral:rRNA from 1 species
GUCGAGCGAACAGAUAAGGAGCUUGCUCCUUUGACGUUAGCGGCGGACGGGUGAGUAACACGUGGGUAACCUACCUAUAAGACUGGGAUAACUUCGGGAAACCGGAGCUAAUACCGGAUAACAUUUGGAACCGCAUGGUUCUAAAGUGAAAGAUGGUUUUGCUAUCACUUAUAGAUGGACCCGCGCCGUAUUAGCUAGUUGGUAAGGUAACGGCUUACCAAGGCGACGAUACGUAGCCGACCUGAGAGGGUGAUCGGCCACACUGGAACUGAGACACGGUCCAGACUCCUACGGGAGGCAGCAGUAGGGAAUCUUCCGCAAUGGGCGAAAGCCUGACGGAGCAACGCCGCGUGAGUGAUGAAGGGUUUCGGCUCGUAAAACUCUGUUAUUAGGGAAGAACAAACGUGUAAGUAACUGUGCACGUCUUGACGGUACCUAAUCAGAAAGCCACGGCUAACUACGUGCCAGCAGCCGCGGUAAUACGUAGGUGGCAAGCGUUAUCCGGAAUUAUUGGGCGUAAAGCGCGCGUAGGCGGUUUCUUAAGUCUGAUGUGAAAGCCCACGGCUCAACCGUGGAGGGUCAUUGGAAACUGGGAAACUUGAGUGCAGAAGAGGAAAGUGGAAUUCCAUGUGUAGCGGUGAAAUGCGCAGAGAUAUGGAGGAACACCAGUGGCGAAGGCGACUUUCUGGUCUGUAACUGACGCUGAUGUGCGAAAGCGUGGGGAUCAAACAGGAUUAGAUACCCUGGUAGUCCACGCCGUAAACGAUGAGUGCUAAGUGUUAGGGGGUUUCCGCCCCUUAGUGCUGCAGCUAACGCAUUAAGCACUCCGCCUGGGGAGUACGACCGCAAGGUUGAAACUCAAAGGAAUUGACGGGGACCCGCACAAGCGGUGGAGCAUGUGGUUUAAUUCGAAGCAACGCGAAGAACCUUACCAAAUCUUGACAUCCUUUGAAAACUCUAGAGAUAGAGCCUUCCCCUUCGGGGGACAAAGUGACAGGUGGUGCAUGGUUGUCGUCAGCUCGUGUCGUGAGAUGUUGGGUUAAGUCCCGCAACGAGCGCAACCCUUAAGCUUAGUUGCCAUCAUUAAGUUGGGCACUCUAGGUUGACUGCCGGUGACAAACCGGAGGAAGGUGGGGAUGACGUCAAAUCAUCAUGCCCCUUAUGAUUUGGGCUACACACGUGCUACAAUGGACAAUACAAAGGGCAGCUAAACCGCGAGGUCAUGCAAAUCCCAUAAAGUUGUUCUCAGUUCGGAUUGUAGUCUGCAACUCGACUACAUGAAGCUGGAAUCGCUAGUAAUCGUAGAUCAGCAUGCUACGGUGAAUACGUUCCCGGGUCUUGUACACACCGCCCGUCACACCACGAGAGUUUGUAACACCCGAAGCCGGUGGAGUAACCAUUUAUGGAGCUA